rnacentral:rRNA from 1 species
UACGAAGGGGGCUAGCGUUGCUCGGAAUCACUGGGCGUAAAGGGUGCGUAGGCGGGUUCUUAAGUCAGGGGUGAAAUCCUGGAGCUCAACUCCAGAACUGCCUUUGAUACUGAGGAGCUUGAGUCCGGGAGAGGUGAGUGGAACUGCGAGUGUAGAGGUGAAAUUCGUAGAUAUUCGCAAGAACACCGGUGGCGAAGGCGGCGCUCUGGACCGAGACUGACGCUGAGGCGCGAAAGCGUGGGGAGCAAACAGG